rnacentral:rRNA from 1 species
CCUUAGUAACUGCGAGUGGAAGCGGGCAAAGAGCUCAAAUUUGAAAAUCUUGGCACCUUCGGUGUCCGAGUUGUAAUUUGUAGAAGCAUCUUUUGGAUUGGUCCUUGCAUAUGUUCCUUGGAACAGGACAUCAUAGAGGGUGAGAAUCCCGUUCAUGGUGGGGAAUCCAAUUCUUUGUAAAGUGCUUUCGAAGAGUCGAGUUGUUUGGGAAUGCAGCUCUAAGUGGGUGGUAAAUUCCAUCUAAAGCUAAAUAUUGGCGAGAGACCGAUAGCGAACAAGUACAGUGAUGGAAAGAUGAAAAGAACUCCGAAAGGAGAGUGAAAAAGGACGUGAAAUUGUUGAAAGGGAAGUGCUUGAGAUCAGUCUUAAGGUUUAGUGAUCAGUCUUCCUUUUGGUUGGUGCACUCACUAUUUCUUAGGCCAACAUCAGUUUUCGCGGUAGGAUAAUGACAUUGGAAUGUGGCUCUUUCGGGAGUGUUAUAGCCUUUGUUGAUACUACCUGCUUAGACUGAGGACCGCGCUUUGCUAGGAUGUUGGCAUAAUUCGAACA